rnacentral:rRNA from 1 species
UGGGGGAUUUUGCACAAUGGGCGCAAGCCUGAUGCAGCGACGCCGCGUGAGGGAUGAAGGCCUUCGGGUUGUAAACCUCUUUCGCUGGGUUGAAAGGCCAUGCUUUGGGUGUGGUUGAUUUGAACUGGUAAAGAAGUACCGGCUAACUACGUGCCAGCAGCCGCGGUAAUACGUAGGGUACUAGCGUUGUCCGGAUUUAUUGGGCGUAAAGGGCUUGUAGGUGGUUUGUCGCGUCUGUCGUGAAAUCCUGUGGCUUAACCAUGGGCUUGCGGUGGGUACGGGCAGGCUUGAGUGCGGUAGGGGAGACUGGAAUUCCUGGUGUAGAGGUGGAAUGCGCAGAUAUCAGGAGGAACACCGGUGGCGAAGGCGGGUCUCUGGGCCGUUACUGACACUGAGGAGCGAAAGCGUGGGGAGCGAACAGG